CCUACGGGUGGCAGCAGUGAGGAAUAUUGGUCAAUGGACGAGAGUCUGAACCAGCCAAGUAGCGUGAAGGAUGACUGCCCUAUGGGUUGUAAACUUCUUUUAUAUGGGAAUAAAAUGUUCCACGUGUGGGAUUUUGUAUGUACCAUAUGAAUAUGGAUCGGCUAACUCCGUGCCAGCAGCCGCGGUAAUACGGAGGAUCCGAGCGUUAUCCGGAUUUAUUGGGUUUAAAGGGAGCGUAGGUGGAUUGUUAAGUCAGUUGUGAAAGUUUGCGGCUCAACCGUAAAAUUGCAGUUGAAACUGGCAGUCUUGAGUACAGUAGAGGUGGGCGGAAUUCGUGGUGUAGCGGUGAAAUGCUUAGAUAUCACGAAGAACUCCGAUUGCGAAGGCAGUUCACUGGACUGUAACUGACACUGAGGCUCGAAAGUGUGGGUAUCAAACAGGAUUAGAUACCCGGGUAGUC
rnacentral:rRNA from 1 species